CUCUUGUUGCUAUCGUCAUCGUCUGCUAUCUUUUUCCUUCACCUCCUCUGCUGCACUCUUUCUCAAAAUCUUGCACUUUGUAAGAACAUACCAGGCAAGGCUAGACUUAUUACCAACUCUUUCCUGGUCUUGCUGAUUCUUCAGUAUGCUGAAUAUUAUCCCUUUUUUCAUCUAUUUGCCAUAACAUAGUUGUUGACUUGGGUGGUAUAAAAAAGUAACUUCAGCUGAUAGCAAGCAAAGCAUCUUUAGUAAAGCAGAGCAGCCCCAAUUAUCCUCUAAUCCCUGUGCCAUGAAGAAAGAGUCCCCAAAGUCUGUGAAGCACUUCAAAUUGAAUAGAUUAGUUUUGCCUAUCCUCCUCAUAGCGGGAUGGGACAUUUUAGAGGGUCUUUUGAGGGUAUAUGGCUAAAUUGAAGACUUUGGCUGAAUUGAGCCUAUCGUAAGGAAAACAAUAGAGUGGUGGAAUGUGAAGUGUGUCUGCAUAUAUAUUUAUAUAUAGGCAGAGAAAAGAGCUGAGGCGGAGUAGCUGAAAAAUUAAUAUCUUCAUAUUCACAAAUGCACCGUGAUAUGAGCUGUGGGGAGAGAGAGAGAGAGAGAGCAAAGAAAGCCUGUCCCAUGGAUUUUAAAAUCCUUUUCUUAGCGACUUAAUGGAUUUGGAAGUACACUUUCAAGAUUUUAGAGCAUGUUGGAUUUGGAAACCAUUAAAGGGCAGGGAGGGCUGAGGUUGGGGAGGUGAGGCAAAGAGGACCUGUGGCAACACACUCUCCAAUCAUGUAUGCCUGAGAGGAAACACGCAACUCAGACUGAGACAAAGAUGCUGCAGAAAUGAGACUCUGUUUAGUCCUCAUUUAAAAAUUGCAGGGUUCAUCGACAGCCUCUGAAAUAUCACAUCAUCUCGCCUUUGUCUCGGUUGCCGUGGAAACCAGCCGUGACCUUCCACACCCGCUCACUGGGGCGGACCCGCUGCACAAAGUUGGCCGGGAAAAAUCCCACCUUGUCUCUGCUUUUCCCCUGGAAAUUUGUUAUUUUUCUGCUGAGCGUGGACCGCUUUGUCCACAUGAAGAGCUACCUCGGUGCUGUCUUCCUGCACAGACGCAUCCUCCAGAUUACUGGCCUCCCAGUACGCUCCCCUCCUCCUCCCAACCCGAACCCUACAACCCCCUAUGAUCAUCCCGCUGAGGAGGCAGAUGGUCUGUGAGUGUCAGUGAAAGUUUGGCUAGGGCGACUCUGAGAUACUGCUGAAGCUGGAGCGACUCAUCUGAGCCAGCGACGUCCCAUAGCGCAGUGCCUCAUAC